rnacentral:ncRNA from 1 species
UAAAAAGCGAUGAGCAGGAAGAGUAGAAUGGCUGUGCCUCAAAGAGAGGGAAACCAAGGCUGGAAGUUUCCUAGGCUACAAGCGUUUGAAGGUCGCCUGUGAGCUGUUCCGCUGAACGAGUUAGUAAGCGGAAUCGGUUUUUGACCGUUACAAAAAAGUCGAGCUGCACGGUUACAAGUAUGCCGUGAACAAAGGUGGCACCGCGAACACUCCCUUCGUCCUUUGA